GAUGAACGCUGGCGGCGUGCUUAACACAUGCAAGUCGAACGGAAAGGCCCAAGCUUGCUUGGGUACUCGAGUGGCGAACGGGUGAGUAACACGUAGGUGAUCUGCCCUGCACUUCGGGAUAAGCCUGGGAAACUGGGUCUAAUACCGGAUAGGACCACAUUUUGGAUGGUGUGGUGGAAAGUUUUUCGGUGUGGGAUGAGCUCGCGGCCUAUCAGCUUGUUGGUGGGGUAAUGGCCUACCAAGGCGUCGACGGGUAGCCGGCCUGAGAGGGUGUACGGCCACAUUGGGACUGAGAUACGGCCCAGACUCCUACGGGAGGCAGCAGUGGGGAAUAUUGCACAAUGGGCGCAAGCCUGAUGCAGCGACGCCGCGUGGGGGAUGACGGCCUUCGGGUUGUAAACUCCUUUCGCUAGGGACGAAGCGCAAGUGACGGUACCUGGAGAAGAAGCACCGGCUAACUACGUG
rnacentral:rRNA from 1 species